rnacentral:rRNA from 1 species
GUAAGGAAUAUUGGUCAAUGGACGCAAGUCUGAACCAGCCAUGCCGCGUGAAGGAUGAAGGUCCUCUGGAUUGUAAACUUCUUUUAUCUGUGAAGAAAGGCACUUAUUCUUAAGUGUUUGACGGUAACAGAGGAAUAAGCACCGGCUAACUCCGUGCCAGCAGCCGCGGUAAUACGGAGGGUGCAAGCGUUAUCCGGAUUCACUGGGUUUAAAGGGUGCGUAGGCGGGCGAGUAAGUCAGUGGUGAAAUCUCCGGGCUUAACCUGGAAACUGCCAUUGAUACUAUUUGUCUUGAAUGCCGUGGAGGUGAGCGGAAUAUGUCAUGUAGCGGUGAAAUGCUUAGAUAUGACAUAGAACACCAAUUGCGAAGGCAGCUCACUACACGGAGAUUGACGCUGAUGCACGAAAGCGUGGGGAUCAAACAGG